UCCCGACGGACGCCAAGCGCCUCGGCCACUUCUCCCGGUUUGCAUUGCGUGGCGACGCAUCGCGUCUCAUACGCCACGGAGGGGCAGGGCUUCUUGUGCGUGCCCUGGCCCCGCCCCUCACCGCUCCGCCCCGCUCCCUGCGGCGUGCCUGGGAGGAUUGAGCACUUCCGGGGGAUGGAACUCGGGACCUCGAAGAUGGGUCUUAAGGAAGGAAAUUUUUCCCCACUGUUAAGCAUACUUAUAGAUUUGGGUGGUAACGUCAGCCACCAUGAUGUGAUGUGCCCAGGGGACUCACCAGUCUGAAUUGAUAGGGCUGCCUGAUCUUGGAUUUGUAGCCUCCAAAGAAGGAUUCAAUGAAUGCUGCAAAAUUAGAUGCUCAAUAAAGAAGUUACCUGCUUGUAAAUGUGGGGCACCAAGUCAGAAAAGUUGGAGGAGAGUUUGACAUCCACUAAUCACUAUCAACUGUCUUGCCCCAUUCGUUAAUGGGGACAGUUAACGUUUUAAUCAAAAUUUUAAAUAAAGUCAUUUAAAUCCCCU
rnacentral:lncRNA from 1 species